UUUAUAACAUUUUUAUUGAUAACCCUUGCCUUAGCUAGCAUAGCACGGGUGGGGGGUGCAGACUGCACCAGAUGACACUAUUUAAGGGGGUGACACCAAGGCAAAAAAUUGCAAAAUAUACAGAAGAAAAAUGUUGUUUUGCCAGUCCCAUUAAUGAUUAAUUAAAGUUAAAUAGUCUUUUAAGUACAAAUUGACAAUUAUUACCAGAGGGUGGGGGUGAUACCAUGUCGUAAAGGUACUAAAGUACUAACUAUAGAGAAAACAUUGCUACAUCCAAGUUCCAACUGUAUUAUUAACAGACUAAAGAUAAACCUCGUUACUUGGGUGACACCCGAUCUAGCGAUGCCAUUGGGCCUUAGACGUAAGCACUUUAUUUAAAUUUUUACUAAUUUCAAAACUUUAAUCUUCAGGUUCUCUCAACAUGGAGACAGGAAUAAGACAGACACAGGGACAAAGAUACCAACAAUGUUCUAGAACACUGCAAUCAACUGAUUUACAACCCUCUGUAUUCAAGUGGCUAGAGUACUACCAUGUGUUUUGUGCUUAUGGGUUUAUGAUUACAGUAAAAAAUAAAACCAAGUGCUGUGAUAGGUUGAAACAAACCAGCUUCCUUUCAGGUCCAUGGGACAGAUGGAGAGAUCAUGAGUUUCUCUGACUUUGGCAUAGGAAGGGAUAGUGUAGUCAAGUUCAAUACAAUGCUCAGCCACCUUUAUUUUCCCAACCAGUUACUAGAGCCCAUUAUUAGAACUUGAGACUAUCAGCGAACCUGGAUUAAUAAAACAGUGAAAUCUUGCUGGAAGGUGCUAUCAUAGUAUAACUGGAUUUACCAGCCUGAGGAUUAAGGCGUCUCUUCAAGAUGGAUGUUAGAACAUCACAGAUGGUUAUUAUUUCAGGCCACCUGAUGUUCAGUUUGCUACACAGCCAUUCAUUAUUGAAAGUCUCAGAACCAUAGAGGAGAACAAAUUUUACAUUGCUGUUCAACAGUCAUAUUUGGAAAACUGUAGACAGCUCUUGACAUCCAUAUUGUGCGGAGGAUGUUGGAUACUUUGCUGAUAUGUCUUUUGAUGUCCUCAUCUGCUCCCCCAUCUUCUUACAACAGAUCCUAGAUGUGUGAAGCGAUCCUGCUCCAAAAUAGUCAUUUCUUGUAUCCUAAGUGGAACUCCUGUUUGUUGUUGAUUCUUAUCUCUUCUGUUUUUUCCAGUUGAUCAUUAAGCCUAUAUUAAGAAGGUUCAUCAUAGUUUGCUUAGCGUGGAUUGGGCAUGUUGUCAAUGUGAGAGUAUAGCAUCCUCAAUAUCUAGACCUCCAGCUAAGUGAGGGUCCACUGUAUUUCAACCUUUUGGUCUGAUGUACUUUAUUGGUGAAAAGCUUAUACUUAUAACAUUUCUGUACUCACUGAAAAAGGGCUGGUUAACUUGUGGAUAAUCUGGCAGUUGGAGUCUUUGUGGAGGUGUUGGAUACUAUUGCUGAAUUUCUUAGCGAUUGAAUGUGCAAAUUCAAUUUUUUCACUAGGUUGGCUUUCAUGUAGAGAUAUUCUGCUACGCAGUAUUUGUUUAUAAAUAUGUUUUUCUAUCUAUAUAUAUAUAUAUAUAUAUAUAUAUGCAUAUAUUUAUGUUUGUGUGUGAAACUAAGGUCUAGUUACACACAGUCAUAUAAUAUUAAAAACUUGUUAGAUUAAGAUGUGGAUUAGAGAUUGUCUGUUGCCAUCAAAUUUUUAUUUAUUGUGGAGGUUGUAUGUAUUGAUUCCAUUUUGUCUAGUUAUUGAGCAUACUGAAAUCUGAUAAUAUUGAUUUAUCUAUCUACUUACUUGUCCACUUGUAACCUAUAUGAUCUAUUACUUAAUUGUAGCAUCAAAAGUAUUCUUUUAAUGUGAAUAAAAAUUUUAAACA